rnacentral:rRNA from 1 species
GACGAACGCUGGCGGCGUGCUUAACACAUGCAAGUCGAGCGAUGAAGCUCCUUCGGGAGUGGAUUAGCGGCGGACGGGUGAGUAACACGUGGGUAACCUGCCUCAUAGAGGGGAAUAGCCUUUCGAAAGGAAGAUUAAUACCGCAUAAGAUUGUAGCUUCGCAUGAAGCUGCAAUUAAAGGAGUAAUCCGCUAUGAGAUGGACCCGCGUCGCAUUAGCUAGUUGGUGAGGUAACGGCUCACCAAGGCGACGAUGCGUAGCCGACCUGAGAGGGUGUUAGGCCACCUUGGGACUUAGACACGGCCCAGACUCCGACGGUAGGCAGCAGUGGGGAAGAUUGCACAAUGGGGGAAACCCUGAUCCAGCAACUCAGCGUGAGUGAUGACGGUCUUCGGAUUGUAAAGCUCUGUCUUCAGGGACGAUAAUGACGGUUCCUGAGGAGGAAGCCGCGGCUAACUACGUGCCAGCCGCCGCGGUAA